AAUGGCUACCCACUCCAGUAUUCUGGCCUGGAAAAUUCCAUGGACUGUUUACCCCAUGGGAUCGCAAAGAGUUGGACAUGACUGAGCGGCUUUCACUUUCACUAAGGGACUUUAAGAAUAUAACCCGCUUUGAACAGCCCCCAGCACGUGGUGAGGGUGAGAGAUGUGUUUGUCAGAAAUACGAUUGCUUCUUGGUUCCUGUCGUACACUGGGGAAGGUUGGAGACUGUUCAUGAGAGGGACGAAGACAGGAAAGUACUGAAAAGGAAGACGCCAGAAAAGGCCCAUGGUCAGCAAUACAACGUGGUGGCCUGCGGAGCCGCGUCCACGCGAGGGGUGCCCAGAUGAUCCCAUCGCCAGCUGCUCUGCUCAGCUGAGGAUGCUGGCGGGAGUUUUAGGGUUUUGGAACCACCUUCUUUUUCGCAAUCAUAUUCGAGCAGGUCUCCAGUUUCUAAGACGCUUCGGACGUGCCUAAUUAGGCCUCGUGGCUAGGAUGAAGGAGUCAGGCACCCGUCGGCGUUGCGUCGGUAACAACGAGGAGGAAGCGUGGUUUGCGUUUCCGGGCUGGCAAAGGGUGUGGGCGCGGAGCCAUCACGAGUCUUAUGACUUCCCUCCUUCCACACCCAUUUUGUCUGAGCUCCAUUCAGGAAGCAAUAUUCCUAACUCAAGUAGAAAUUGUCUAAACACGUUUUCCUCUGCUCCAUAAAGGUCAAGGGCAAACUGCACGUGGAAGCCAGAUAUUAAGUGUGGCGGCGGCUGUGGGCAGAGAGAAAUCUAGGGGCGGGAUGGGCAGUGCGUGUCACCAGCCUCAAGGUCUGUCUAAGCCGCUCCUUCUCCCUCCUGGAAAUACGCGUUCCCUUCUGCUCCUGCUCCGGCUCUCCGCGUCUCGGCCGGGCUUCCUCGCCAGCCUCACGUGUGGCCCCUCACUUCACACCCGUGUUGUCUCCAGCCGCUGUGUGCCGGGACCCGUGGUCUUUCUACCACCACUGGCUUGUGGGGUUUCUCCAACAGCUUCUGUUGACAAAGCCCCGCGUGGUGCCAGCUGGUGGAGGAGAAACGUGUACAGGGUCCGGCUCUGGUUUCACAAGGCAGGGGGAAGAGGAACAGAUUUGGAACGGAGAUAAGAAAUUGACAAUCGGCACAGACUUUGGCCUCUAAAUUCCAUUUUAAAAAAUUAAAGGAAGUCAUCAAAGGUGUACAUGAGUAUUUAGAUAAAGAAUGGUUAUGGCUGUAUAGGGAAGAAAAAAGGAAAUAAAAAUGUUCCAAAAUUGAGAACUACUUAAGAAAAAUGAUGGUUCAUCUAUAAAAUGAAGUUCUAUUUUUAUUUAUUUUAAAAUAAUUUUAUUUUAAAUAAUUUUGUUUAUUUAUUUUUGGCUGGGCUGGGUCUUUGUUGCUAUGCAGGCUUACCUCUAGUCGUAGCAGGCAGGGGCUGCCCUCUCCUGCAGUACACGCGAUAACUCUCCUGUUGUGCAGCACGUGCUCCAGAGCACGCAGGCGUCAGCAGCUGAGGCCCCCGGGCUCUAGAGCACCCGCUCGGUAGUUGUGGCGCUCAGACUUGGUUGCUCCGCAGUAUGUGGGAUCUUCCAAGAUCAGGAAUUGAACCCGUGUCUCCUGCAUCGCCAGGCAGAAUCGUUACCACUGAGCCAUCGGGGAAGCUCCUCUAUUUCUUUAUUUUCAUGAAAAUGUGUCUAUAUUAUUAGGUAAAAAGAUGUAGUAAUUGCAACUUAUACAUUAUUACCCAUUAAAAUACAUUUUUGCAUAUAUUUCUAUAUAGAAGUAGAAAAAGACUGAAAGGUUUGGUGUCUUGCAGACGAUUCCUCGGUAGAAGACCCAGCUCACAGUUCGUGCUCAGUAAGUCUUUACUGAACAGACUUGUGGCCUGUGCAGCCCUCACUGCCUAGAGUCCGGAUCAAGGCUGGAGCCUCCCUGUACCACUUUGUUUCAGGGCAGACCUCCUCCGUUUCCUCUUCAUUCUCAGGCUACGAUUCAUUGAGAAGUUCCUAGGAAGAUGUUGCUCCAUUAAAAAAAGAAGAUGAUGACUCCUUCAUGAGACCUAAGGAAGGGAUUCCUAAGUCGAUAAAGCUGUUAUUUAUUUAUUUAUUUUGGAAAUGCACACAAGAGGGCUUUUUUCCUUUUAUUAGCCCAUGCUAAGCCAAGUGAUUGAAGGCAGGAGAAAUUGUGAAGUUCCACAGACUGGAUGAAGAAAAUUUCAAAGCCAUGAAAGGUUGUUGUGAUGGAUUGUUGCUGAUCAAGAAAGCGCCAACAUCAAAAGCUGCAGAAUGGGUGUCAGCGUUAAAAGAAAAUCUUGGAGGAGAAUCGCUGGUCGCUUGACAGGUGAUUUUGGAGAAAUGUGAUGGUUGCUGACUUGAAUUGAAAAACGAUUUAGAUCAUUCAGACUCUGAACACUUUAUAUCUCUUAUAUUUUCUUUCUCAUUAAGACACACGAGGAAUCUGUGAUAAACAAUCGCUGAUGUCUAAAGCAGCUUUUUCAAUAAGUAGACAGAAAAUUCAAAGUGAUAAGUAAACUUUGUGCUGUGAUUU